CAGAGAGUUCUGGAACGCAGCUCCUUUCAUAGCCCUUGGCUCCUCUGCACGCCCCAAAUAAACACAGAUUGUCAGUAGUGGUUUCAGAUGAAUACCCCUGCAAAUGCUGGCAUAGCAGGCUGGGGCAGCCACGGGUCUUACCCUCCAGGGAGGGAGCCCGGAGCAGGACUGCCACGCAGAGAUGCAGUUGAAGAGGGGAAGGGGAGGGGGUCUAUGAAAGCCAAUGGCAGAGCCCUGUGGUUUGGCAGUUGGCCUGGGAGCCCUGGAGCCUUCUGGGAAAAAGCCAGGAGGGGAGGACAGAGUGAGGGAGAAGGGGUGGGGGAACUGCUUCUCAGGGUUGGGCUGGCUGCUGCGCCUGUCAGGGCCAGAAUUGUCGGCUCUCUUCUGGAGUGACUUACUACAUACAGAGAGGAGGAAAAUGAACUAAGGUGCACUGGGCAAGUCACAGCCAGGAUUUCCCUCCAAUCUCACAAUAGGGCUAUGAGGCAGAUUUUCAUCACCAUUUCUCAAAUGGGGAAACUGAGGCCCCACAGUGUUCAUAAAAUCCCAUGAGCACGGGAUUCCGAUGAGUCUACAUUG
rnacentral:lncRNA from 10 species